ACUCCUACGGGAGGCAGCAGUAAGGAAUAUUGGUCAAUGGAGGGAACUCUGAACCAGCCAUGCCGCGUGAAGGAUGACGGCCCUCUGGGGUUGUAAACUUCUUUUGGAUGGGGCGAAAAACGGGAUUUAUCCUGGACUGACGGUACCAUCAGAAUAAGCACCGGCUAACUCCGUGCCAGCAGCCGCGGUAAU
rnacentral:rRNA from 1 species